GGGUCUGUAGCUCAGCUGGUUAGAGCACUGUGUUGAUAACGCAGGGGUCGUUGGUUCGAGUCCAACCAGACCCACCA
rnacentral:tRNA from 5 species